AGUUGGUUGGUGCAGUUGGCUAGCAUUCCAGGUUUGCUCCCUGUGGUUGAGUGUUCAAAUCCCACUCCUCAACUU